rnacentral:sRNA from 1 species
CCUGGCCUGUGGUACAGACCUAUUUAUGCACGACAUUUUGAGUAAAGUAGUUCAAAUUUAAAGCGUUAUCCUGGAUAGCUCUUCACUGACGAAUUUCCUUUCUAGUGCCUCCAUAAGUAACUGAUAACCGGCUAUUACAUGCCCAUGGCGGCUUAAAUUUUUUUUGAAGGAAAUCGACAUGUCUAACAUGAUCAAAGGUCAAGUGAAGUGGUUCAACGAGUCUAAAGGUUUUGGUUUUAUCACUCCUGCAGACGGUAGCAAAGAUGUGUUUGUACACUUCUCUGCUAUUCAGAACCAAGGCUUCAAGACCCUGGCAGAAGGCCAGACAGUACAGUUCUCUAUUGAGAACGGUGCUAAAGGUCCAUCAGCGGCUAACGUUACCGCUAUCUAAUCAGUUUUUGGCUGAUUAAAGAACCGCUUUGGCGGUUGGCCAAAAUGAUUAUU